rnacentral:rRNA from 1 species
UACAGAGGAUGCAAGCGUUAUCCGGAAUGAUUGGGCGUAAAGCGUCUGUAGGUGGCUUUUUAAGUCCGCCGUCAAAUCCCAGGGCUCAACUCUGGACAGGCGGUGGAAACUACCAAGCUGGAGUACGGUAGGGGCAGAGGGAAUUCCUGGUGUAGCGGUGAAAUGCGCAGAUAUCAGGAGGAACACCGGUGGCGAAGGCGGGUCUCUGGGCCGAUACUGACGCUGAGGAGCGAAAGCGUGGGGAGCGAACAGG